GACGAACGCUGGCGGCGUGCUUAACACAUGCAAGUCGAACGGAAAGGCCCUGCUUGCAGGGUACUCGAGUGGCGAACGGGUGAGUAACACGUGGGUGAUCUGCCCUGCACUUCGGGAUAAGCCUGGGAAACUGGGUCUAAUACCGGAUAGGAGCCAUUUUUAGUGUGAUGGUUGGAAAGUUUUUUCGGUGUAGGAUGAGCUCGCGGCCUAUCAGCUUGUUGGUGGGGUAAUGGCCUACCAAGGCGGCGACGGGUAGCCGGCCUGAGAGGGUGGACGGCCACAGUGGGACUGAGAGACGGCCCAGACUCCUACGGGAGGCAGCAGUGGGGAAUAUUGCACAAGGGGCGCAAGCCUGAUGCAGCGACGCCGCGUGGGGGAUGACGGCCUUCGGGUUGUAAACUCCUUUCGCUAGGGACGAAGCUUUUUGUGACGGUACCUAGAUAAGAAGCACCGGCUAACUACGUG
rnacentral:rRNA from 1 species